UACAGAGGGUGCGAGCGUUGUCCGGAAUCACUGGGCGUAAAGGGCGCGUAGGCGGCCUGAUAAGUCGGGGGUGAAAUCCUGUGGCUCAACCACAGGGCUGCCUCCGAGACUGUCGGGCUCGAGCACAGUAGAGGCAGGUGGAAUUCCCCGGUGUAGCGGUGGAAUGCGUAGAGAUCGGGAAGAACAUCAGUGGCGAAGGCGGCCUGCUGGGCUGUUGCUGACGCUGAGGCGCGACAGCGUGGGGAGCAAACAGG
rnacentral:rRNA from 1 species